rnacentral:lncRNA from 1 species
AUGCCAGCAAAAUUUGGAAAACUCAACAGUGCCCACAGGACUGGAAAGUCAGUUUUCAUUCCAAUUCCAAAGAUAGGCAAUGCCAAAGAAUGUUCAAACUACCGCACAAUUUCACUCAUCUCACGUGAUAGUAAAGUAAUGCUCAAAAUUCUCCAAGCAGGGCUUCAGCAAUACGUGAACCAUGAACUCCCUGAUGUUCAAGCUGGUUUUAGAAAAGGCAGAGGAACCAGAGAUCUAAUUGACAACAUCUGCUGGAUCAUGGUAAAAGCAAUAGAGUGCCAGAAAAACAUCUAUUUCUGCUUUACUGACUAUGCCAAAGCGUUUGACUGUGUGGAUCACAAUAAACUGUGGAAAAUUCUGAAAGAGAUGGGAAUACCAGACCACCUGACCUGCCUCUUGAGAAAUUUGUAUGCAGGUCAGGAAGCAACAGUUAGAACUGGACAUGAAACAACAGACUGGUUCCAAAUAGGAAAAGGAGUAUGUCAACACUGUAUGUUGUCACCCUGCUUAUUUAACUUCUAUGCAGAGUACAUCAUGAGAAAUGCUGGACUGGAAGAAACACAAGCUGGAAUCAAGACUGCCGGGAGAAAUAUCAAUAACCUCAGAUAUGCAGAUGACACCACCCUUAUGGCAGAAAGUGAAGAGGAGCUAAAAAGCCUCUUGAUGAAAGUGAAAGAGGACAGAGAAAAAGUUGGCUUAAAGCUCAACAUUCAGAAAACGAAGAUCAUGGCAUCAGAUCCCAUCACAUCAUGGGAAAUAGAUGGGGGAACAGUGGAAACAGUGUCAGACUUUAUUUUUCUGGGCUCCACAAUCACUGCAGAUGGUGACUGCAGCCAUGAAAUUAGAAGACGCUUACUCCUUGGAAGAAAAUUUAUGAUCAACCUAGAUAGCAUAUUCAAAAGCAGAGACAUUACUUUGCCAACUAAGGUCCGUCUAGUCAACGCUAUGAUUUUUCCUGUGGUCAUGUAUGUAUGUGAGAUUUGGACUGUGAAGAAGGCUGAGCGCCGAAGAAUUGAUGCUUUUGGACUGUGGUGUUGGAGAAGACUCUUGAGAGUCCCUUGGACUGCAAGGAGAUCCGUCCAGUCCAUUCUGAAGGAGAUCAACCCUGGGAUUUCUUUGGAAGGAGUGAUGCUAAAGCUGAAGCUCCAGUACUUUGGCCACCUCAUGAGAAGAGUUGACUCAUUGGAAAAAACUCUGAUGCUGGGAGGGAUUGGAGGCAGGAGAAGAAGGAGAUGA